AGUGAACGCUGGCGGUAGGCCUAACACAUGCAAGUCGAACGGCAGCACAGUAAGAGCUGCUCUUACGGGUGGCGAGUAGCGGACGGGUGCGCGAUACAUCGGAAUCUACUUUUUCGUGGUGGAUAACGUAGGGAAACUUACACUCAUACCACAUACGCCCUCCGGGUGAAAGCGGGUGGUCUUCUGCCCUUGCGCGGUUUAAUGAGCCGAGGUCGGAUUAGCUAGUUGGCGGGGUAAAGGCCCACCAAGGCGACGAGCCGUCGCUGGUCUGAGAGGAUGAUCAGCCGCACUGGAACGGAGACGCGGUCCAGACUACUACGGGAGGGAGCAGUGGGGAAUAUUGGACAACGGGGGCAAGCCUGAUCCAGUCAGACGGCGUGGGUGAAGAAGGCGUUCGGGUUGUAAAGCCCUUUUGUGGGGAAAGAAAAGCAGCAGGUUAAUACCACGCGGGUCUGACGGAACCCAAAGAAUAAGCACCGGCUAACUACGUG
rnacentral:rRNA from 1 species